rnacentral:rRNA from 1 species
GUUUGAUCCUGGCUCAGGAUAAACGCUGGCGGCGCACAUAAGACAUGCAAGUCGAACGAACUUAACUCAUUCUUUUAGUUUGAGAGCGGUUAGUGGCGGACUGGUGAGUAACACGUAAGCAACCUGCCUAUUAGAGGGGAAUAACAGUGAGAAAUCAUUGCUAAUACCGCAUAUGCUAACAGUAUCGCAUGAUACAGUUAGGAAAGGAGUAAUCCGCUAAUAGAUGGGCUUGCGCCUGAUUAGCUAGUUGGUGGGGCAAUGGCCUACCAAGGCGACGAUCAGUAGCCGGACUGAGAGGUUGAACGGCCACAUUGGGACUGAGAUACGGCCCAGACUCCUACGGGAGGCAGCAGUCGGGAAUAUUGCGCAAUGGAGGAAACUCUGACGCAGUGACGCCGCGUAUAGGAAGAAGGUUUUCGGAUUGUAAACUAUUGUCGUUAGGGAAGAUACAAGACAGUACCUAAGGAGGAAGCCCCGGCUAACUAUGUGCCAGCAGCCGCGGUAAUACAUAGGGGGCAAGCGUUAUCCGGAAUUAUUGGGUGUAAAGGGUGCGUAGACGGAGGAGCAAGUUGGUUGUGAAAUCCCUCGGCUUAACUGAGGAACUGCAACCAAAACUACUUCCCUUGAGUGUCGGAGAGGAAAGUGGAAUUCCUAGUGUAGCGGUGAAAUGCGUAGAUAUUAGGAGGAACACCAGUGGCGAAGGCGACUUUCUGGACGAUAACUGACGUUGAGGCACGAAAGUGUGGGGAGCAAACAGGAUUAGAUACCCUGGUAGUCCACACCGUAAACGAUGGAUACUA